ensembl:snRNA
GCGUGUCUAUAAAGGAGGGAAGUUAGCCCUCCCCUUGACAAGGGUGGAGGAGACCCUCGGCCUGGCAGCGUGCAUAUGGUUAAGGCAGUACCACUUACUUCAUGGUAUCUAACCAUCGCUUUUA